rnacentral:rRNA from 1 species
CCUACGGGAGGCAGCAGUGGGGAAUUUUGGACAAUGGGCGCAAGCCUGAUCCAGCAAUGCCGCGUGAGUGAAGAAGGCCUUCGGGUUGUAAAGCUCUUUUGUCAGGGAAGAAACGGUGGGAGCUAAUAUCUCCUACUAAUGACGGUACCUGAAGAAUAAGCACCGGCUAACUACGUGCCAGCAGCCGCGGUAAUACGUAGGGUGCAAGCGUUAAUCGGAAUUACUGGGCGUAAAGCGUGCGCAGGCGGUUUUGUAAGUCUGUCGUGAAAGCCCCGGGCUCAACCUGGGAAUUGCGAUGGAGACUGCAAGGCUUGAAUCUGGCAGAGGGGGGUAGAAUUCCACGUGUAGCAGUGAAAUGCGUAGAGAUGUGGAGGAACACCGAUGGCGAAGGCAGCCCCCUGGGUCAAGAUUGACGCUCAUGCACGAAAGCGUGGGGAGCAAACAGGAUUAGAUACCCUGGUAGUCCACGCCCUAAACGAUGUCUACUAGUUGUCGGGUUUUAAUUAACUUGGUAACGCAGCUAACGCGUGAAGUAGACCGCCUGGGGAGUACGGUCGCAAGAUUAAAACUUAAAUGAAUUGACGG